CUCUUUCUCUCAAAACCCUCGACUGCACCAUGACAACUGACCCGACCCGAUCCGGCCUCACUCCGGCGGUAGCUGUUCUCCGACGACACCAGCAUUCAGCGACACGGCCCGACCUCUCUCCGGCGAUUGUAUUUCUCCAGAGGUAGCUGUUCUCCGGUGAUUGUAUUUAUUCAUCUGUUAUUUAAGCUUUUCUGACACUUUGGCACCCACGGACUUGAGUUGAAAUAUGUUGCGUGGAACAAUUCCUUCAAUUCUUGGGAACUUGACCUACACAGAGAAAUUGUUAGUAUUGAAACAUUUAAAUUCAGAAUCUUGCGAUUUAUUCCACCAUCUGUGAUAUAUUUGUUACUUGAACCCUGAUAUGGGUUUGCUUUCUGCAAGGUAGUGUCAUUUAAGUAGCAUCUAGUGUGAUUGGUUGGUUUAAAUUGUUACUGGUUUCGCAAAAGCUGUUAACUUAGAGGUAGUGCUUAUUGUUAUCUUACGUUGGUGUAGUUGG
rnacentral:lncRNA from 1 species